CAUGUACUAGACCUUACAGAUUUCACAAAAAUGAGACAGGGUCCUUAUUCUCAAGAAAUCUAACAGAACCCUAGUAUUCUCUUAGGAUUUUAAGAAAUGGAGGAGUUGUCUGAUCCUGCACAGUUUGGAGGGCUUGAUGAAAUAUAUAAAUGACUGAACAUGGAGUCACUGGGUCUGAAAACUACCAUAGCAGUCAGUCCCUAAGCCUUAACCAGCGGAAACCAACUCUGGCCACUACUGACACUUGGCCCUCAGAUGCAGCAUUCUGAACCAGUUUCCAGGUGCUCACUGCAUGG